UGCCAAGAGAGGAAAAAUCCCAGAUAGGCUGGCCUGAAUCACUGAGAGUUUCUGUAACAUCCUGGACCGCUCAGAACUCAGGUGAACUGAGGAGACACCAGCACCCCGCUUGCCCAGGAACUGAUCUUCAGUGAAGUGAACUAAAACUGGGAUGGUUAUGGGGAAAGAAACUCUGGGGGAAGUCAGAAGCUCUCCUGUCCUCGUAGAAGAAGCUCAAAAUAUCUGGCUGGCCCGAAGCUGAUGCUAGUCUAGUGUCAAACGCCUUUAGAACCGAGGCACCACAUUUUGAGGAAGCCCAGGUUCCAGAGAGAGCACACAUGAGGAUAUUCAGACAACAGCCCCAGGAAGGCCUUCAGCCAACAACCAGAAUUAACCACUAGACAAGUGAGUGAACAAGCCUUCAGAUGACUUCAGCCCAGUCUUCAAGCCUUUCAACUGAUAUGCCCCGAGGCAUGCGGGAGCAAGGACCUCUGUUCUGCUGACUUCUGCCUGAAUUCUGGACCCAAAACAACUGUGAGAGCUCAUAAAUGAUUUUUGCCAUUUUUAAGCCACUAUGUUUUGGGGUAGUUUGUGACACAACAAUAGAUAAUACAAAGUCCAAGAACAAAAUCGCAAAUGGUUAUUAGCUCAAAUGCUAAUGCUAGCCAACUGAUAGUUGUCUGGAUAAAGUUGCAUCAGGCUGAGCAAGAAAGAGAAGAUGGAAUUAAAUCAGAGAUGUCUGCCAUGGGCGUGAAAGUGGGAAGUGACGGCACUUGUGGUUUUUAUUUGCCAAUCCUGGGCUAAGACAACUGACUACACAUCCAGAAAAAAAAUUGUUCAAAGAGGAAAAGGGAGAAAAAGGCAGGCAGAGCGGGGAGCAGAAAAAGCACUGGACUUGAGGAAGGACAUAAGGGUUCAAAUUUCAGCUACUUACUUGCUGUGGGAACAUAAGCACAUUGUUUAACCUCUCUGGGCUUCAGUUUCCUCAUCUGCAAAAUCACAGAAUUGUUGUGGGCUAAAUAAAAUAAAACCAUGAUACAAAUGUCUGGCAGUAGGUCCUCAACAAAUGGGAGUAUGGUGGGAGUUCUGGCUCAGCCUAAGUAAACUUUGGGUAUGGGGGAUGAAUUUGAGGUUGAUUUCACUUUGAAAAGCAGCAUUAAAUCAUAUAAUUCAAGGUCUUACUAAAGUUUUAGUUUUCAAAGUACAUUCUGUGACAUACUAGGCAUGUAGGAUGUUAAAAGUAUGUUCUGUACAAUACUGGUUAUUUGGGAAUCUUAGCAGGUGUUAUACAGAUAACAAGAGUUUACUUACAUACCAUUACCAAAUGACCCAACAAUCCCAAUUCCUGGGUAUUCACCUCGGAGAAGUUAAAAUUUGUGUUCACAAAAAAAAUCUGUACAUGAAUGUUUAUAGCAGCUCUAUUCAUAAUCACCAAGGACUGGAAACAACCCAAAUAUCCUUCAACAGGAUAAACAAACUGUGGUACAUCCAUACCAUGGAACACUACUCCACAAUAACAAAGGCCUAAUUAUUGAUACAUGCAGCAACACAUGGAUGAGUCUCAAAGGUAUUACCCUAGUGAAAGAAGCCAGUCUCAAAGGCUAUAUAGUAUGUAAUUCCAUUCAGAUGACAUUCUCAUAAAA